CCCCAACAUUGUUUCUUUAAGAAAUAUCACUUUUCAUCACAACUAUGUAUCUUAUUCUUAUCUUAUCUUAUCAGUGUAAAUGAGAAAGAAGUCAGUAAUCAAGCAUGACUCAUCAGUUUAUCACAAAAAAAUCGGUGAUGACUUUCUAUAAAGUUCCAAAAAAGUCGAUGAUUACUUCCUUCAGAGCUUUGGAGUUGUAUUUUUCUUAUCAGUUUUGUUCAUCUUACUUAGGACUGCUGCUUUUGCUUUUGGAGAAACAAAACGAAAGAAAUAAUGAAGUCUUUUCAAAGAAGAAUUUAGCAUUGUACAUUAUUUAUUACAGGAUAUGAAAUACAGACUUAAUAUUAGUAGAAUAAUUUCACAAAUAAAAGAGUGGACUUGUAAAGUCCAACUUAUUGAAAAAGCAAGAGAAAGAAAGAGUAAGGAAGGACGAACACGAUUUCAAAUCGCAAUUGCAGAAGAUGAGACGCAUGCAUCAUUGUAUUUUCACUUUAUGGGAAGACUUUGCUGAGAUUGAUGGAAGUGAGCUAGCUGCAUAAAUUAAAAAUCAUUCCGUAAUCCUAGAAAAACGAAUUGCACGUUCUUCAUAUAUGGUAUGAAUAAAAUUUUAUUUUUUUCUUUUAUAUGUAUGUUUUUUUAAAAUAUUAAUUUUUCUUAACUUAUAAGUGUACGACACAGGGACAUCUUUGACAACAAGAUAUAAUUCUACAAUAUUGAUAAAUUCUAUAUAUCCUCAAAUUGCAGAACUAAUAAACUGGGUGAAAGACAAUGAAGAAAUGUUGAACAUAUAUACACAAAGAAGUUCUGCUGGAAUACCUUCAUCCUCAAUUCUAAUAUCGCCACAUGAUGACAUUAUACCUGUAGAAAACAUUCAAACACAAUCUGCGAUGCAAUCCGUUCACGUUGAAGGUAAAAUGUCAUUCUUGGGUGAUGAUGAACAGAUAUUUUAUGAGUUAAUGUGUCCAAAAUGCAAGAAUAAUGUUAGAAUCAAGAUAAUAAAGACAAUUGAUUGUGGUAAUAGAGAUUGAAAAAUGAUCAAAUGUGAAGCUUAGCUUCAAUGUAUUCAUCAAGAGAGUAUUUAUACGAGUACAAAGAGAGAAGAAAAAAAAAAAACAUCUAGCUAACUGAGAUAGUUCAUGUCAACUGAAUAUGAGCUAACUAACUAGUGCUCCAUCUGUAUUUUUACAACUAACUAACUAAUUAACUAACUAACUGAUAAAUUAAAUAAGAAACCUCAAUAAAUAUUAUUAGAAAUUAUUGUAUCAAUUUUUUUAAUAUACCAAAUUUCUCCAUGUCGUAAGUGUUAUGAUCCAAAGGAUUCAAAAGCCAAACAGUCUUGUUCAUUUGAAGUUGUAAUUUUAGUUCUAAACUGAUGCAAAUAAAGCUCCAAUUUUUUUAUAGAUUUGAUUUAACUAAACUUCCUCAUUCUUUAACACAAGAGGAUUCUUUGAAAUUCAGUCCCAACAAUUGUCAAACAAAUACGUUUAGAUGGAAUUGAUUAUUUUCGGAUUGUCUCUGUUCAUAUGGAUUAAUAAAAAAUUGUACCACCUAUUUAAUUAGUCCCACAUAUGUCACCACAUAAUUUCAUUAAAAGGCGGGGCAUUUUCACCGUAAAGUAUAAUUGAUGUUAAUAAGUGGAAGAAAAUGUAUUUUUAACUCAAAAUUAAUAUUUAAAGCAAUUGAGAUCCAAUAGGUAGGAGAAAAACAAAUCUAAAUCAUCUUCAAUAUAUAUUAAGAAUAUUAUUUUUAUCUUUUUGGUCUUUUCUUGUAAUAGUGAAAUGUGAUCUUUUAACUGUUGUUCUAGAUCACAAAGAGAAGCUCAAAAUAUCAAAACGGAGAAUAUGCAAAGAAAAGUAGAGCUAUGGUAAUUGAAAAUAAUUUACCAAAAUAUGUAGCAAAUAAAAGGAAAAAACCUUCUUAUUUAUCUACACCAAUAAAACGCUAAAUCUUGAAGUCACAAAGCCCUCUUCUCUUUGUCUGACAAUUACUUUCUCUUAUAGUUAUUUACUAACUAAUAAAAAUUUCAUUCAUAUUAAUCUAAUCUAAUUUAAAGAUUUGAUAUUUUAUAAUUGUACAUAAGCGAAGUAUUGAAAAACAUUUUUACCUUUUCUAUUUAAUCAUUAGGGAGAUUCAUUAUUCUAGAUUACUUCAACAACAAAUUUUUAGGCUUUUUACUCUCUUUCAAAUAGAUGAAUAUUCAAACAUCAAAAUAUUUGGAUGUGCGUCUUAUUAAAACUCAUCUCAAAUUAAAAUAUAUCCCCCUCACGCACACAUAUGUAGGUCUUGUACGCUGUAUUAAUUAUUUUUUAAUAUUUCUAAUAGUUAGUUAAAAUUCAUUUUUUAACGACCUGAAUUUUGAUGAAAUAUGUGAAAUGUGUGUUUUUGUGUGAUUUGAUUAUUUUAUUCAUUUUUGUAGUUGCAUUGUGGUAAUUCUGGGGUGUGGAGUUGAUUGACAUGGUUCUCAAUGUAUUUUGGUACCAUAUGUGCAAUAUUGUGAUUUUAGGAGACUUCGAGAGUCUUAUUAUGGACUUUUGUGAUUUUAUUUUGAUCCGUGCAAUCGAUGGCUAAACGCAGGGGCGGAUCUACGGUAGCGGGUGUGGAUUUCCGGGAACCCACAACCGCUACUACAAGACAUAUAAUUAAAUGAGAAAUAUUAUUAAAAGGUAUAAAUAUUUAAAGGUGGGAACCCAUAACAAAACUGGUGGAUAGCUCAGUGGUUAGAGGGAACCCAUGUGUAUUUCCGGCCCUCCAAUGCGGGUUUGUAUCACACAUUUUCUUUUUUAUUAUGCUUGGGAACCCAUAAGUUUAAAAUUUUGGAUCCACCUCUAGCUGAACGGACUAUGUAAGCAGAUCUGAAACAUCGAUUUUAGGAUGGUAACAUAUUUGGUGUGGUUUUACGACUUUUAAAUCUCAUUUCGACCCUCGGUAUGAUAAAUUGUGAUUUCGGAUUUUGGGGGUCAACUUUGUGAAAACGGCGUCUUUUCAAAAAUACGAUAUCCCCAUUGAGUCCGGAGCGUCGCAUUUAGUAAGGUUACAUAGUUCAUUUACGUAUAUCGGAUUUCAAAUGAAUCCCGAGGCCUUUGCGGAAACUUGAAAAGUUUUCAAGUUUCCAGCUGCUAUUUGAUGUGCAGGCAAUUGUCAACCUUGACCGUGAUCGCUAGCCUUGGCCGCGAUCAGAACUAGUGUGAUUGCGAUGGUCCUGGUGCGAUCGUGACUGGCCUUUCCAGGCGGGGGAUAGUACGAUCGCACACCUUGAGUCGUGAUAACGACAUCUGAAAACCUAAAAGGGUAUAAAUAGAUCCCUUAGGUCCUGAAUUAGCUCAUUAUUUCUCGUCUCUUUAGAGAUAAACCCUAAAAUAGUGUGAAAGCUUAAAAGUGAAAUUUGUGGGUGCUUGGAGAGCUAGAUUAUCAUUCAUUUCAUGAUUCUCUUAUGAAUUUAAUGUAAAAAUUCACCUUUUUCUUGGUUGCAUUUUUUGAUUAAUUUCUCAAAACACCCAAAACCUUAGGGUUUGAUUUUAAACCCCAAUUUCACUCUUUUUUCACUUGAAUAAUAUUCCUAAUCCUAUAAUUACUAGUUUUUCCUCAAUUUAACCUUCAAAAUAAUUUUGAUUCUUGAUUUUAAAAUGGGUUUCAAAGGUUUUACCAUGUAAAGUUUAAAAAUAAUUUUUCUUCGAUUUGAACCUCGUUUUAAACUUGUUUCGAGUUAGGUUUCAAUUGUAGAUUCCUAAAAGUAUGGAAAACACAUUUUUGAAAUAAAGUUAUGAUUUUGCCCUUUUUUUUUUUUUUUUCUGAAAAUCCGUUUUGGGGGUUUGUUUUGACUCCGAACCAAAAGUGGGCAAUAUGAGUAUCGUUGAAUUUAUUUUGACGUGUAGAUUCUAUAUUUCUUUAUUUUAAUUGAUUUCAAGAUCGUUCAUGAGAAUUAUGGUCAUGGGUUGAAGUGAUGUGGACUGGUUUUCGGCCUUGAGGUAGGUUAUGGCUUAACUCUUCAGACUGAGUUGCAUAUUUAAUUUGUAUACAAAAUGCAUGUUAAGGGUGCGAAAAAUAAUCAUGAAAUUAGCUAUCUUAGUGUGUUGUGCCUGUGUGGGGGCCUAUAUGUGAUAUAAUUAUUUGUUUUAUGAUAUUAUGUGAUAUGUGUGACCGUGUGGGAUCCUAUGUGAUGUCGAUAGCCUGAAAUACAUGUGAGUGAUUGUAUUUUAUGUUGUUGAAAUGCAUAUUCUACUACCAUUGGUGUAUUGUGUUAUAUUCAUACUUUAUUGACAUAUGAAUCAUGUGUAAUUUCAUGGAUGGUAGAAGUAAUGAGUGGAAAUUGGCUCACGUGGUUGUGGAAUAUAUCAUUGUGGUUGAUUGUGGAAAUACAUCAUGUGGUUGAUUAUGGAAAUACUCAUUGUGAUUUAUUGUGAGCAUUAUAUCCUCAUAUCAUACUCAUUUAUGGAACAAAUGAUACCUCUGUGGCAACACUUGAGAAACACUGCAUCACCUUUUAAUGACAGAAAAUGUGACAUCAUAUAAAACUCUCCUCGAGGGAUGUGUCGGGGAUGAGAUAUGAAUUGUAUACGGGUUGACAAACCCCCCCAUGGGUCCUAUGUCAGAAGACUUUACUUCGUAGGUGUAUAAAGGAAUUGUGCGAUGAUCCUAGAGGUUGUGAGAUGACCUCCCGCAUCAUCAUCUUAUACAUUGCACUUACUUUAUUAUGUUAUGUUGUGAUUAAAUUGCCACAUUGACUUGUCUUAAAUCUAUUUUUUCUACCUUCAGUUAUUUGUACUUGACAAUCUUAUAUAUACAUGUUCUUCCUUGUUUCUACUUGUAUGAUAUAUGAUGUAUACUUUUAUCCUACCUUGUUGUGUUGUUACAAUAUACGUGAUAUAUAUAGUAGAAUUAUUAGUGCAAGCGGUGUGGGCUACCGUUGUGGGACAUUUUUCGAUUGCAGGUGAUGUGUCCUUUAUGUGUAUUUUGUAUGUUUUAUUAUCUACUUUGUUCGGUUAGCCUAUGAUACCUAUUGAGUAUAAGUAGAUCGUACUCUCGCCUACUACCCCUUUCGGUGCAGGUCCUAGUUCGAGUGCACUCCAGCUUGCUUGAUUCGAGCGGUGUUUGGUACUUUCCAGGUAGAGAUUGACUUUCAGGCAUCCGGAUGUAUUCUACUACUUUUCUUAGAGACUAUGUCUUUAUUUUCAUUUCAGAGAUAGAGCUUUUCAUGUAUUUGGAUAGAGCUUUUCAUGUAUUUGGACAUCUUAUAUAUUUUUUUUGGAU